CAUUAAACAACUCUGGAAAUUGUAGCUCUGGGAGGUAAAUAGGGUUCUCCUAACAACUAUCAGCACUAUGAAGCUUCCAGAAUUCUUUGAGGGAAGCUGUGGCUAUUUAAAGUGAUAUUGUGAUAUUUUACUUUAUAUGGAUGGUGUGGAUGUGACCAUAGUCCAAGAACAUCUGGUGGACCCAGGAUUUAAGAGCACUGGAAUAUUUUUCAGGGCAGGAAUGUUGUUAUCAUCAGCUGGAGCACCAGUGUAACUGAUAGACCCUCCUUCAUCCAUUGAACUCAGAAAGGCACUGUGAGAUGCUUCACAGUUCAAAGACUUCUGCUUUUCUGGCCAGACUAUUCCAGUUCUGAUGGCAAACCUCCCAGACCAAUUAGAAGAUUGCAGGUGAAACAGGUGCAAAAGAGAAAGUGGGAUUCAAGCCCUUGAUGACAUGCUCAGUGGGACAUCUGAGGUGCGCACAGAUGUGCAAGUGGGAG